UACGUAGGGGGCAAGCGUUGUCCGGAUUUACUGGGUGUAAAGGGCGUGUAGGCGGGAAUGUAAGUCAGAUGUGAAACUCCGGGGCUCAACUCCGGAACUGCAUCUGAAACUAUGUUUCUUGAGUGCUGGAGAGGAAAGCGGAAUUCCUAGUGUAGCGGUGAAAUGCGUAGAUAUUAGGAGGAACACCAGUGGCGAAGGCGGCUUUCUGGACAGUAACUGACGCUGAGGAGCGAAAGCGUGGGGAGCAAACAGG
rnacentral:rRNA from 1 species